ensembl:lncRNA
CACAACCGCUGACAUUACUAAAAUUUAGAUAAUUUAGUCCCAUAUGGGAAUCCAUGCCACAGUUAUAUUGUCCCUAUUCCGACACAGUCCUGAUUUUGCACUUCUUUAAGUCUUGCUUUUUAUAAUUUCAAUUCCCUCCACCAAUAAAGCAAUUUGCAUUCACACAGCCCUCUCUGCUAAGUGAGAGAAGAAAUCUGUUAGACGACCUUGGUCUUUUUUGCAGUUGAUUACAAGGAAACAAACUCUUCAGCUAAACCAUUCCCUCAUCUGUUUUUAAUUGAUGUAGAACAUUGCACUACAAACUAUAGGGGAGAAUUAAACAAGUUGCACACUAGCAGGUGACAGUUUGCUUUCAUUUAAAAAAUGCAAGAAUGAGGCAAAUGCUACCUCACGGAAAGAGAUAUAGCAUAUAUAUCAGAAGUUCUCCAGAUAGGUAUAUAAUACUGGCUGCUCACCUUACUUAAUAAAAGUCAAGGAACUGCAAAGCAUCCCCAUUGCAUCUUGCAGCUCUUUAAACAUUUUAUUUGUUGGAUUUAGUUGUACAAACAGCACAGGAUCAAUUUGUACAUGUUGCCUAACCAACUGUUUGGGAUUUGGGGAUAUGUGGAGAGAAGUAAUGCUAUGGUCACUCCCCCGGAUGUCCAAAGAUCCAUUAGAUUACUGCCAGAAGAGCUGGAAUGAGCAAGUUUGUCUAAAGGAAUGGCAAAGGAAUCAAAAUAGGAGAAAAAGAUAAAAUAUUUCCUGCAGCUAUAAAUAAUUACUCUGUAUUGGAGUCAACUAAAAUAACUUCCCAUUUGAUUGAACUCUUACAAUGUGGUCACAAGGACAGCACACAAGUGCUGCAGUACCAGUCCCUGCAUGACAGCUGUGUUCCUCAGCCGUGGAACUCAAGUAGAGGUUGUCAUUUUCACUCAGAUUUUCUUCUGUCAGAACUGGGACCAACUUCACAGUCAUUUGCUAUGUCUAUGGUAAUUAACAUUCACUGAAUUUUUAUUUUUACAGGGCAGAAAAAAUAUCCACGUGAUCCUUCUUUAUUUCUGGUGGUGUUGACAAGCAAUGUUAAACAUUCAAGUCUAUGAUGGAUAUAAGCAUCCGAAUAAAAACACUUACCUUUACUCAACAGAAGAUUCACAUUUCCACAGAUCCAGUACCAUUGAGAUUGACUAAUGUAAUCUGAAGGAUUUGUUUUAUGUUCAAAACGUUAGAACAAUGUCAGUAAAAUAUUGAGCAUAACUUUGAGUGGGACAUGAUACUAGUUAAUGAAGUUUUCCAGCAUCAUACUUUCCAUAAAAGGUAUGAGGUAUGGAUACAAGAUCCACCCAUUUUGCUGGAAAAGGCUAACUUUUGUUCCAAGUACUUGAAUGUUGACACUUAAGCUCGCUGUUUGUUAUAUUUACAAUUGAAUUAAAAAUAAACUUUAUCAUAACUUUUAAAAAAUACAUAUUUAUGUAUUUUGUUAUAGUUACAUUUUGUUAGAUAAACAUUGUCUCAUUCUCACAGUGAACAGUUUUUAAAAGUAUCCUGAAAUAUUC